rnacentral:rRNA from 1 species
GGAUAGGAGACUUUCAGAGAUGGAUUGGUGCCUUCGGGAACUCUGAGACAGGUGCUGCAUGGCUGUCGUCAGCUCGUGUUGUGAAAUGUUGGGUUAAGUCCCGCAACGAGCGCAACCCUUAUCCUUGUUUGCCAGCGAGUAAUGUCGGGAACUCCAGGGAGACUGCCGGUGAUAAACCGGAGGAAGGUGGGGACGACGUCAAGUCAUCAUGGCCCUUACGAGUAGGGCUACACACGUGCUACAAUGGCGCAUACAGAGGGCAGCCAACUUGCGAAAGUGAGCGAAUCCCAAAAAGUGCGUCGUAGUCCGGAUUGGAGUCUGCAACUCGACUCCAUGAAGUCGGAAUCGCUAGUAAUCGUGGAUCAAAAUGCCACGGUGAAUACGUUCCCGGGUCUUGUACACACCGA